AGCGAACGGGAUUAGAUACCCCGGUAGUCCUGGCCCUCAACGCUGUUCGCUCGUUCUACGGAGUAUCGACCCUCUGUGGGACUAAGGUAACCCGGUAAGCGAACCGCCUGGGUAGUACGAUCGCAAGAUUAAAACUCAAAGGAAUAGACGGGGACUCGCACAAGCGGUGGAUUAUGCGGCUUAAUUCGUCGAUAAACGAAGAACCUUACCAAGGUUAGAAAUCCAACUGCAUCCGAGGUGAAAGCCUCGGAGCCUUCGAGGGUGUUGGACAGGUGAUGCAUGGUCGUCGUCAGUUCGUGGUUUGAACUGUUCCCUUCAGUGGGGUAACGAACGCAACCCCCGUUGCCUGUUGCCUAUAUGGUCAGGCGAGACUGCUCCCUCACGGGAGAGGAAGGUGGGGAUGACGCCAGAUCAGCAUGUCCCUCUGAUACCUUGGGCUGCACGCAUAAUACAAUGGGUGGUACAACAGGUCGCAAUACCGUAAGGUGGAGCCAAUCCUUAUAAAACCACCCCCAGUACGGAUAGAGGUCUGCAACCGACCUCUUGAAGCCGGAAUCACUAGUAAUCCCAGGUCAGCUAAACUGGGGUGAAUACGUUCUCGAGUCUUGUACUCAUUCAGAAAUGUGCUUGGUAGUUAUUCAAUCCAGUCCGUU
rnacentral:rRNA from 1 species